rnacentral:rRNA from 1 species
UAUAGAUGGAUCCGCGCUGCAUUAGCUAGUUGGUAAGGUAACGGCUUACCAAGGCAACGAUGCAUAGCCGACCUGAGAGGGUGAUCGGCCACACUGGAACUGAGACACGGUCCAGACUCCUACGGGAGGCAGCAGUAGGGAAUCUUCCGCAAUGGGCGAAAGCCUGACGGAGCAACGCCGCGUGAGUGAUGAAGGUCUUCGGAUCGUAAAACUCUGUUAUUAGGGAAGAACAUAUGUGUAAGUAACUGUGCACAUCUUGACGGUACCUAAUCAGAAAGCCACGGCUAACUACGUGCCAGCAGCCGCGGUAAU